rnacentral:lncRNA from 1 species
GUGAGGCUACGGCGCGCGCGGUCCCGCGACGCGUCCUCCCGGGUGAGUGUCUUCAAGUCUAAGUGCAGGAUGCACUUGGGAGGUGGGAGCCUUCUUCCCCUGGCCGCCGGCCGCUCUUUGCUGCAGAGUCGCCAGCGCUUUGAAUCAAGCGUGAGUCACGCAUCUGUUUGCUAACUGGGAGACCGCUUGGCCGUUCCUUCGGCGGUUUAAAACAGUUUUUAAAAUUUCAAUAAUUUGACCCAGGCUGUCAUUCUGGGGCUCAGGCUGGCCUGGAACUCUUAAACGAUAUUCCUGCCUCAGCCUCCCCAAGAGCGCUGAGAUUACAAGCCUUGCUUACUUGGCAUUUUAUUUUGUUUUCAGACGAGGUUCUCUUGUAGCCCGAUUUAUUUCUAACCCCUCUAAAUAGCUGAGACUGAUCCCGAACUCUUAAACCUCCGGAGUGCUGGACUUACGCCACCACUACUCUUAGCUUCACCUAGCCCUACUUCAAACUUUUUCAAAAUGUAAACUGCUUUAAAAGUAAUGUGUUAAAGGCCGUAGAAAUAGUUCACUGGGUAAAGUUGCCAAGCCUGACAGCCUGAGUUCCAUCCCCAGUACCUACAGAGUGGAAGAAGACGACUAACUCCCACAGUUGUUCUCUGGGCUACACACAAAAUAAAUAAAUGUAAUUUUUAAAAAGAUAGUAAUAUGGGGGGUCUGGAGAAACGGCCAGCGUGUAAGAGCACUUACUUCGGAGAAGCAAAGUUCUGCUCCCAGCAGCCACUUCAGUGGAAGACAGUCACCUGUAACUCCAGCUCCAGGGGGUUCAGUGCCCUCUUGUGGCCUCUACCAACACCCACACUCACUUGCACAAACACAUAAUUAAAAAUAAAAAUAAUUAAUUAGUAUCUUGAAGGAACAUUAACAGCAAUCUGGGAGGGCAUUUAGUAAUUGUUUGGAUACCUCAGAUCCAAAAGGAUGACCGUGUUACUUGAAGUUUGAUGUUUCCCAAACUUGAGUGGGAAUUCACUUUGUGAAGCUGUCUUUGGUGUCUUGAGUUAUUUGCAUAAAAUGGUAUAAGACAGCUGUACCAUGGCCAUCAAAAGAACAGUACUUUGUAUAACUUCCCCUCACCAACAUCUUUCACAACCAGUGGGGUGCUUCCUCUCCAUAGCCAUUGCUAUGGAGUAGAGGCCUUCAGCAACCCCCACCUGGUCUGAGAACUUAUCCAUAAAUUAAGUUUAAAUGGAAACAACAACACAAAACAACACGUUCUCAAGGAUAUAAUUAAUUCAUUUGUAGGUAGGAUCCCACGCUAUUAUAUAAAAACAGUAGUUCAGUUGACCCUUUGGAAACACUUUGUUUAAGCACUUCCUCUUCCUGAAUCAAAGCUUUACAGCAUGCUGCCUCCAAAUAAACACCAAUCACACGGUAAGAUGUCCAAGUUGUAGUUUAUUUUAGUCAGAAAAGGGAUAGGACUCAGAGGAAGCUUUUAAAUUUGAUUUAAUAAAUGUCUUGUAAAAAAAAAAUCUGCACCAAGAAAUAAACACAAAGAUAAGGAAGACCAUCUUAGUGGUAAAAAUGAUAGCACGGAAAGAGGCUAAGUCAAAAUAACCACAAUGACAAAAUGGGAUUGCUAAGUAAAUUAAAGUGAAAAUCAACUUAUAAUUGAAAAGGAG